rnacentral:lncRNA from 1 species
CUUUUGGAGAUUAGCAGAGCACUCCAGAAACACUAGAAACAUUUCUUCAUGAUGUUUUACCAGGUUGAACAUGCGAGAGAAGCCUGUUUUUCUCAGUUACCAGUGAAAAUUAGCUGUGCAAGGAGGAUCAACUACAACAGGCUGCUAAAGGAGAUCCCAAGAUGAGAUUGCAAGGGAGAUCAGCACAGAGUGCAAAUCUGAAAAACAGUUUUCCAGUUAGGAUACAGUCCAUCUAGGCCCCUUCUCCAGUUUCUUGUCCCUAUCAUUUCCUAAGUGAGGAAAUG